UACGUAGGGCGCGAGCGUUGUCCGGAUUUAUUGGGCGUAAAGAGCUCGUAGGCGGCUUGUCGCGUCGACUGUGAAAACCCGCGGCUCAACUGCGGGCUGGCAGUCGAUACGGGCAGGCUAGAGUUCGGUAGGGGAGACUGGAAUUCCUGGUGUAGCGGUGAAAUGCGCAGAUAUCAGGAGGAACACCGGUGGCGAAGGCGGGUCUCUGGGCCGAUACUGACGCUGAGGAGCGAAAGCGUGGGGAGCGAACAGG
rnacentral:rRNA from 1 species